GUGCUUACUUCAGCAGCACAUAUACUAAAAUUGAAACAAUACAGAGAAGAUUUGCAUGGCCCCUGCGCAAGGAUGACGUGCAAAUUCAUGAAGCGUUCCACAUUUGU
rnacentral:snRNA from 1 species